UUUUUCUUAGCAAGCAGAGCAGAGUAAAACCAGAGAGCUUUCGUUUGCUCUAAAUAAAACUUGAAUUGAUUUCAUUGCUUACAGGCCAACGUAUAUAUACAUAAGAAAACAAAAUGACAGCUAGCUAAAAGAUAACAAAUUCAGAUAAAACAAAAACAAUCACUAAAUCAUUGGCCAAUGAUAUAGAGCUUCUAGAAUCUUCAUCCAAUCAUCCCAUGUGCUGAUAUUCCUCUGUGUAACUGUUUUGCCACCUCAUUGAAUUCCUCUCAUUUCUUUCAUCAGCUGACUGUAAUUGUGAGUAGCUCAGGUGGCAUGCCACUGUGUCAUUGAGGUCAUCAGUUGACUGGCUGAGAUCAUGGCUGCCAUGGCUGCUAUUUUCAACACCCUCUCUCAAACACAAGGUUUUGUCAAACACCUUGAGUUUGCUUCUGAAGCAGCUAAAUUUGUAAUAAGGUAACGGCUUAGUUAGAACAUCAGUUAUUUGAUCCCUGCCUGCAACAAAACUGAUUUCCAUUUCACCUCUAGCUACCUUAUCCCUGAUAAAAUGUAGGUCUAUCUCAAAGUGUUUAGUCUUUGAAUGAAAAACAGGAUUGGUAGCCAUUGCUGCUGCACUUGUGCUAUCACUUAAGAUUGUUGGUGUUCUUUGCAUCUCUAGUUUCAGCUCACUUAGUAAGGAGCUAAUCCAUGUAAUUUCUGCAGCACAGAGGGCCAUUGCUCUGUAUUCUGAUUCAGUCGUAGAUCUAGCAACCAAACCUUGCUUUCUUGAACUCCAGGCAAUGAGAUUUCCACCCAGAAAUACACAAUAGCCACUGAUGGACCUCCUGUCAUCCAAAUCAUUUUCCCAGUCUGCAUCUGUGUAAGCCACCAAAUCAAAAUACUCUGACUUCUUGAAUUUCAGACACAUGUUCAUGGUGUUUUUAAGAUACCUCAAUACUCUUUUGCAUGCUAUCCAGUGAGGUUGCCUAGGAUCUGACAUGUAUUGGCUGAGCUUGUUCACUGAGUAAGCAAGCUCAGGCCUUGUGAGUGUUGCAUACUGCAGGCUGCCUAUAACACUUCGAUACAAUGUGGGAUCAUGAAACUUUUCUCCUUCAUUCUUCUUCAGCUUUUCUGUGGUACUGAAAGGUGAUUCAAUUCCUUUACAGUCACUCAUUUCUGUUUUGGCAAGCAAAUCUUGAAUAUACUUGGUUUGAGACAGCAAAAUGGCAUUUUGUUUUCUGUUUACCUGAAUCCCCAGAAAGAAGUUUAGCUCUCCCAAAUCCUUUAAGGCAAAGGUCCUAUUUAAGUUGCUAACCAGCUCUUCAAUACUACCACUAUUAUCACCAGUAAUAAUAAUGUCAUCAACAUAAAUAAGCAAUAUAACUAUCUCAGAUUUAGUUUUUCUGUAGAACAAUGAGGUAUCACACUUAGAAUUUUCAAAUCCCCAAGAGUUUAAGGCACCCUUCAGUUUGUCAAACCAUGCCCUGGGGGCUUGUCUCAAGCCAUACAGUGCUUUCUUUAAUCUGCAUAUGUGAUUUGGCUUGCUUUUGUUCACAAAACCUUCAGGUUGUGGCAUGUAAACCAUCUCUGUCAGCUCACCAUUCAAGAAGGCAUUGUUUAUAUCUACCUGCCUCAGCAACCAGUCAUUGUUCACUGCCAAAGUGAGGAUGAUUCUGAUUGUUACAGCCUUGACAACUAGGCUGAAAGUCUCUGUGAAAUCAAUGCCUGGAAUUUGCAAGAACCCCUUCACCACUAAUCUAGCCUUAUAUUUGUUUAUGGUUCCAUCUGGAUUUUCUUUAACUCUGUACACCCAUUUAUUUCCAAUUAGCUUGUGGCUUGAGUCAUUUGGUACCAAGGUCCAUGUUUCAUUUUUCAUCAAUGCAUUGUACUUAUCUUCCAUUGCCCUUUUCCAGCUUGGUUCUUUUAAAGCUUCUGAGGUGUUUGAGGGUAAUGCUAUGUGUGGUUGAGUAGUGAUUUGGUACAAUUUUGGUUUAAAGAUCCCUGCUUUAGAUUUUGUUACCAUAGGGUGUGAUGAUAUAACUUCUUUUGUGUUGGGUGCUGUGAUAGUGGAUGAAGGUUGGUCAUUUGCUUGAGGCUGGUGAUUUGAAUGAGGUGAGGAUAACUGAUUAUUUGAUAUCAUAUCAUUGCUUAAAUUCUGUUGUGUCUUACCUUGGUCAAGGUUCUGUGCUGAUAUUCCUCUGUGUAACUGUUUUGCCACCUCAUUGAAUUCCUCUCAUUUCUUUCAUCAGCUGACUGUAAUUGUGAGUAGCUCAGGUGGCAUGCCACUGUGUCAUUGAGGUCAUCAGUUGACUGGCUGAGAUCAUGGCUGCCAUGGCUGCUAUUUUCAACACCCUCUCUCAAACACAAGGUUUUGUCAAACACCUUGAGUUUGCUUCUGAAGCAGCUAAAUUUGUAAUAAGGUAACGGCUUAGUUAGAACAUCAGCUAUUUGAUCCCUGCCUGCAACAAAACUGAUUUCCAUUUCACCUUUAGCUACCUUAUCCCUGAUAAAAUGUACGUUUAUCUCAAAGUGUUUAGUCUUUGAAUGAAAAACAGGAUUGGUAGCUAUUGCUGCUGCACUUGUGCUAUCACUUAAGAUUGUUGGUGUUCUUUGCAUCUCUAGUUUCAGCGCACUUAGUAAGGAGCUAAUCCAUGUAAUUUCUGCAGCACAGAGGGCCAUUGCUCUGUAUUCUGAUUCAGCCGUAGAUCUAGCAACCAAACCUUGCUUUCUUGAACUCCAGGCAAUGAGAUUUCCACCCAGAAAUACACAAUAGCCACUGAUGGACCUCCUUUCAUCCAAAUCAUUUGCCCAAUCUGCAUCUGUGUAAGCCACCAGAUCGAAAUACUCUGACUUCUUGAAUUUCAGACACAUGUUCAUGGUGUUUUUAAGAUACCUCAAUACUCUUUUGCAUGCUAUCCAGUGAGGUUGCCUAGGAUCUGACAUGUAUUGGCUGAGCUUGUUCACUGAGUAAGCAAGCUCAGGCCUUGUGAGUGUUGCAUACUGCAGGCUGCCUAUAACACUUCGAUACAGUGUAGGAUCAUGAAACUUUUCUCCUUCAUUCUUCUUCAGCUUUUCUGUGGUACUGAAAGGUGAUUCAAUUCCCUUACAGUCACUCAUUUCUGUUUUGGCAAGCAAAUCUUGAAUAUACUUGGUUUGAGACAGCAAAAUGGCAUUUUGUUUUCUGUUUACCUGAAUCCCCAGAAAGAAGUUUAGCUCUCCCAAAUCCUUUAAGGCAAAGGUCUUAUUUAAGUUGCUAACCAGCUCUUCAAUACUACCACUGUUAUCACCAGUAAUAAUAAUGUCAUCAACAUAAAUAAGCAAUAUAACUAUCUCAGAUUUAGUUUUUCUGUAGAACAAUGAGGUAUCAUCACACUUAGAAUUUUCAAAUCCCCAAGAGUUCAAGGCACCCUUCAGUUUGUCAAACCAUGCCCUGGGGGCUUGUCUCAAGCCAUACAGUGCUUUCUUUAAUCUGCAUAUGUGAUUGGGCUUGCUUUUGUUCACAAAACCUUCAGGCUGUGGCAUGUAAACCAUCUAUGUCAGCUCACCAUUUAAGAAAGCAUUGUUUAUAUCUACCUGCCUCAGCAACCAGUCAUUGUUCACUGCCAAAGUGAGGAUGAUUCUGAUUGUUACAGCCUUGACAACUAGGCUGAAAGUCUCUGUGAAAUCAAUGCCUGGAAUUUGCAAGAACCCCUUCACCACUAAUCUAGCCUUAUAUUUGUUUAUGGUUCCAUCUGGAUUUUCUUUAACUCUGUACACCCAUUUAUUUCCAAUUAGCUUGUGGCUUGAGUCAUUUGGUACCAAGGUCCAUGUUUCAUUUUUCAUCAAUGCAUUGUACUUAUCUUCCAUUGCCCUUUUCCAGCUUGGUUCUUUUAAAGCUUCUGAGGUGUUUGAGGGUAAUGCUAUGUGUGGUUGAGUAGUGAUUUGGUACAAUUUUGGUUUAAAGAUCCCUGCUUUAGAUUUUGUUACCAUAGGGUGUGAUGAUAUAACUUCUUUUGUGUUGGGUGCUGUGAUAGUGGAUGAAGGUUGGUCAUUUGCUUGAGGCUGGUGAUUUGAAUGAGGUGAGGAUAACUGAUUAUUUGAUAUCAUAUCAUUGCUUAAAUUCUGUUGUGUCUUACCUUGGUCAAGGUUCUGGGAUUGUUCUGUGGUUUCAGGAGCUUCAAGAGAGUGGCUUUGAUCAGCUGCUAACUGAGUGUUUUGAGGAGUAUCAAGGAAGAAUGACACGACCUGAAAUUUUUCUAAAAGAUUAAGGAAGACAUCCUGACUUGUGGACUCUUCCCUGCUGAACUUGGGGUCAUUAGAAAAAGGGAAUGAGCUUUCAUUGAACCUGACACUUGUAGAGACAUAUAUUCUACCUGAGUGAUGCAUGCAAACAUAUCCUUUGUGAGUUAAGCUUAUUCCUAGUAGUGUGCAUUUGGCAGUAUGGAAAUCAAACUUGUGCUUGUUAUAUGGUCUUAGAAAUGGAUAGCAUUCACAUCCAAACACUUUGAUUUGUGAGUAAUUUGGUUUGUAAUGGUAAAGCAUUUCAAAGGGGGUUUUGUUUCCAAUAACAGGUGAGGCUAAUCUGUUGAUAGUGUAGGUAGCAUAACUGAAGGCUUCUUGCCAGAAUUUUAAUGGCAUUUUAGCUUGUGGGCUGAAAGUCUCUGUGAAAUCAAUGCCUGGAAUUUGCAAGAACCCCUUCACCACUAAUCUGGCCUUAUAUUUGUUUAUGGUUCCAUCUGGAUUCUCUUUAACUCUGUACACCCAUUUAUUUCCAAUCAGCUUGUAGCUUGAGUCAUUUGGUACCAAGGUCCAUGUUCCAUUUUUCAUUAAGGCAUUGUACUCAUCUUCCAUUGCCCUUUUCCAGCUUGGUUCUUUUAAAGCUUUUGAGGUGUUUGAGGGUAAUGCUAUGUGUGGUUGAGUAGUGAUUUGGUACAAUUUUGGUUUAAAGAUCCCUGCUUUAGAUUUUGUUACCAUAGGGUGUGAUGAUAUAACUUCUUUUGUGUUGGGUGCUGUGAUAGUGGAUGAAGGUUGGUCAUUUGCUUGAGGCUGGUGAUUUGAAUGAGGUGAGGAUAACUGAUUAUUUGAUAUCAUAUCAUUGCUUAAAUUCUGUUGUGUCUUACCUUGGUCAAGGUUUUGGGAUUGUUCUGUGUUUUCAGGAGCUUCAAGAGAGUGGCUUUGAUCAGCUGCUGACUGAGUGUUUUGAGGAGUAUCAAGGAAGAAUGACACGACCUGAAAUUUUUCUAAAAGAUUAAGGAAGACAUCCUGACUUGUGGACUCUUCCCUGCUGAACUUGGGGUCAUUAGAAAAAGGGAAUGAGCUUUCAUUGAACCUGACACUUGCAGACACAUAUAUUCUACCUGAGUGAUGCAUGCAAACAUAUCCUUUGUGAGUUAGGCUUAUUCCUAGCAGUGUGCAUUUGGCAGUAUGGAAAUCAAACUUGUGCUUGUUAUAUGGUCUCAGAAAUGGAUAGCAUUCACAUCCAAACACUUUGAUUUGUGAGUAAUUUGGUUUGUAAUGGUAAAGCAUUUCAAAGGGGGUUUUGUUUCCAAUAACAGGUGAGGCUAAUCUGUUGAUAGUGUAGGUAGCAUAACUGAAGGCUUCUUGCCAGAAUUUUAAUGGCAUUUUAGCUUGUGCCAGCAAUGUGAGUCCAGUUUCUACCACAUGUCUGUGCUUUCUCUCAACCUUCCCAUUUUGUUCAUGUAAAUAAGGACAUGAUUGUCUCAAUAUAAUGCCCUCUUUGUCAAGGAAUGGUUUGAAUGGUUUAAACUCUCCUCCCAUGUCUGUCUGUAGUGCUUUAAGAUUUUUGAAAUUCAAUGUCAAUAUCAUUGUCAUGUAAUAAUCUGGAAAUGCUAAUGAGGUUUUUAGUGAUGCUUGGCACAAAUAAUAUGUCAUUCAAGGCAAUGUGUUUAUGUGGAUUUGAAGUGGAAAGCAUAGAAUUACCAACAUGAGAGAUCAGGAGUUUUUCACCAUUUCCAACAGUUAAUUUUUCAUUACCUUGAUACUCAGAGUUGAUGUUUAUGUUACCAAGAGCAUUUGUCACAUGGUUUGUGGCACCACUGUCCAGGUACCAGGCUCCACUGCUUUGGCCAUCAGUUGCAGCCACAUAUGCACCUCUUGGUUCUCUCCUUUGGCUUGGUUGUGGCACAUAAUUCUUUUUGAAUCUGUGCCAGCAAUCAGCAGCUGUGUGUCCCAUUUUCCAGCAAAUUUGACAAGGCCCCUUUGGAUUUGAACCAUCCUCAUCACUCACAGCUUUACCUUUCCCUUUGUCCUGAGAGUUCUGAUUUCCCUGACCAGAUCCAUUUCCAGGGGUUCUGAAGACUAUUCCAGGCUGGUGUUGGUUUCCAGCCAUGUUGUGGUUGUUCCAAUUCCUUCUUCCAUUUCUUGCUUGUGCAUAGUUUGCCUCUAUAGUCCCUGAGCUUAAGUUAGAAAGAGUCGGGCAGCUUAUCUACAUUGAAAAGAAAAACAGAACGGACCUUUGAGUCCUUGAUGCUCUCUAAAGCACCAUCAUCAAUACUUCUCUGUAGAGUAAUGCGUCGAGUUUUACUCCAAUGACUCGAGUCCUCUCCGUUCAGCACACGACCGAAGCCCAAUUCUUCAGUUUUUCUGGUGAUGAUCUCGUGCAUAAGAUCAUGAACUUGGCAGAUUCUAACUCGUCCAGAAAUAUCUCUCUCUGAAACUUGUACCAAGCUUCUGUCAAUGAGCUCAUUCAAGAAUUCUUCUGCAACUUGUUCAGAUGUGGGGCGUUUGCUGUACUGGACAAAGCCCUCAGCUAUCCACAAACGGAUGAGUCUAGCACAGUUAAUUUUGCAGCUCUCUUGAAAUAAGCCAAAGUAGAGAAGACAUGAUUUGAGAUGGUGAGGAAGAUCAUGAUACCCUUCAGAUAAAACUCUGUUGCAGUCUUUUAGAUGGGGUUCACUUCCUAACAUUGAGCCCAACCGAUCAAAUAAUUUCUUCCAUUCAGAUACAACCCUGUUCUUGGUUGAAAGAAGUCCACCUACUUAAAAUUCUUAAAGAAUUGCUUUUUCUUAGCAAGCAGAGCAGAGUAAAACCAGAGAGCUUUCGUUUGCUCUAAAUAAAACUUGAAUUGAUUUCAUUGCUUACAGGCCAACGUAUAUAUACAUAAGAAAACAAAAUGACAGCUAGCUAAAAGAUAACAAAUUCAGAUAAAACAAAAACAAUCACUAAAUCAUUGGCCAAUGAUAUAGAGCUUCUAGAAUCUUCAUCCAAUCAUCCCAUAUGCUGAUAUUCCUCUGUGUAACUGUUUUGCCACCUCAUUGAAUUCCUCUCAUUUCUUUCAUCAGCUGACUGUAAUUGUGAGUAGCUCAGGUGGCAUGCCACUGUGUCAUUGAGGUCAUCAGUUGACUGGCUGAGAUCAUGGCUGCCAUGGCUGCU
rnacentral:lncRNA from 1 species